GUUGAACGCUGGCGGCGUGCCUAAUACAUGCAAGUCGAGCGAACGGACGAGAAGCUUGCUUCUCUGAUGUUAGCGGCGGACGGGUGAGUAACACGUGGAUAACCUACCUAUAAGACUGGGAUAACUUCGGGAAACCGGAGCUAAUACCGGAUAAUAUUUUGAACCGCAUGGUUCAAAAGUAAAAGACGGUCUUGCUGUCACUUAUAGAUGGAUCCGCGCUGCAUUAGCUAGUUGGUAAGGUAACGGCUUACCAAGGCAACGAUGCAUAGCCGACCUGAGAGGGUGAUCGGCCACACUGGAACUGAGACACGGUCCAGACUCCUACGGGAGGCAGCAGUAGGGAAUCUUCCGCAAUGGGCGAAAGCCUGACGGAGCAACGCCGCGUGAGUGAUGAAGGUCUUCGGAUCGUAAAACUCUGUUAUUAGGGAAGAACAUAUGUGUAAGUAACUGUGCACAUCUUGACGGUACCUAAUCAGAAAGCCACGGCUAACUACGUG
rnacentral:rRNA from 1 species